AAAAGAAGAUUUCUUAGACGAGGAGAAAUAAAAUAACCUAAGUUUAGUAGAUCGAGAGGCUUGGCUCCAGAAAAUCAGUCUGACUAAAUGCUGAAGGAAAUCGUCCCAGGUCCCACUGCUCAGCCCUUCUCCUGUAGAUUGGGUCGCUGACCUCAUACUGACUUUGUGACAUCCCAGAGUGAGGAAGUAUAAGUCCACAGUUGCCUGGUUUCUUUAGACGCUCCUCCCUGCCUCAUCUCAAGGCUCAGAAAACCAUUUUCAGCAUGAAGAAACUGCGGAGCACUCGUGCAGGACGGUGCUCUGGAGAGCAUACAAAUCUUUCUGCACGGUGACAUGGUCCCUACUGGAACUCCAGAACAUCUCUGUGGUGUUACCUUCCACAUUAUCUCCCAGAACAAAAAUGAGGCUGCCCAGCAUUGAGAAUCUCUUAAUCAAUAAAAUCGGAUCACUGCAACA